AUAUUCUUGCCCAGAGAGUAAAGAGGACGUGAAACCGGUGAGGUGGAAUCGGAUAGAGCUAGCAUAUGUGUCUUCUAUCAUUCGUUCGGUGAAGAAUUGUGAGUCAUCCUUGCACACUGGAGCGGAGCCUGAAAGCCCCCCUACAAUGGAUAAUGGAAGCACUUUGGAAAGAGAGUUAAAAGUACGUGAAAUUGUCGAAAGGGAAGCACUUGAAGUCAGCCAUGCUGCUUGAGACUCAGCCUGGCUUUUGCUUGGUGUAUUUCUCGGUAGCAAGCCAGCAUUGGUUUGUGUCGUCGGAGAAGCGUAUGGGGAAUGUGGCAUCCUCGGAUGUGUUAUAGCCCUGUGCAGGAUACGACGACGUAGACCAAGGAACGCAGUGUGCCCUCUGGGCGGGUCUUCGGACACCUUCACACUUAGGAUGCUGGCGUAAUGGCUUUAAGUGGCCCGUCUUGAAACACGGACCAAGGAGUCUAACAUGUGUGCGAGUUUUUGGGUGGCAAACCCAUGAGCGUAAUGAAAGUGAAUGCAGGUGGGAUCCGCAAGGAGCACCAUCGACCGGCCCUGAUGUUCUCGGAUGGGUCUGCGUAAGAGCAUAUAUGUUGGGACCCGAAAGAUGGUGAACUAUGCCUGAAUAGGGCGAAGCCAGAGGAAACUCUGGUGGAGGCUCGCAGCGGUUCUGACGUGCAAAUCGAUCGUCAAAUUUGGGUAUAGGGGCGAAAGAUUUUCGUUCUUACCGGGGCGCCUAAGCCUACGCGCUGAGACCCCAAAAUGGUGAACUAUUCCUUCAUUCUGGAUGAAGCCCAAGAGACUCUUGUGGAAGUUCGAAACGAAUUCUGCCUGCAAACCGACCUUCUGAUUUGGGUAGAGGGGCAAGGAAAAGG
rnacentral:rRNA from 1 species